rnacentral:rRNA from 1 species
UAGCAUAUCAAUAAGCGGAGGAAAAGAAAAUAACAAUGAUUCCCCCAGUAACGGCGAGUGAAGAGGGAAGAGCCCAAAUUUGGAAUCUGGCGUCUUUCAGGCGUCCGAGUUGUAAUCUGGAGAGGCCAUAUUCGUGUCGGACCGUAGCAAAGUCUGCUAUUAUGCAGCGCCAGAGAGGGUGUUAGCCCCGUUUGUACUAUGGAUCCCCGAUGCUUAGAGUAGGUCUUCAAAGAGUCGAGUUGUUUGGGAAUGCAGCUCUAAGAGGGUGGUAAAUUCCAUCUAAGGCUAAAUAACGGCGAGAGACCGAUAGCGCACAAGUACCGUGAGGGACAGAUGAAAAGCACUUUGGAAAGAGGGUGAAAAAGUACGUGAAAUCACUGAAAGGGAAGCGCUUGAGGUUAGACGUGCAUUGUAUGAUUCAGCCAAUCUUUGGAGAGGUGUAUUUCGUACUAUUGCAGGCCAGCGUCAGUUUUGUGUGCUGGAUAAGGGUAUAGGGAAUGUAGCAGUAGCUUCGGCUGCUGUAUUAUAGACCUUUACUGGAUACAGCAUGCGGGACUGAGGAACGCAGCGUGCCUUUAUGGCCAAUCCUGCGGGAUUGUGUACGCUUAGGAUGCUGGCAUUAAUAGCCUUAAACGACCCGUCUUGAAACACGGACCAAGGAGUCUAACAUGCUUGCAAGUAUGUGGGUGUCAAGCCCUUGUGCGUAAUGAAAGUAAACGUAGGUGGGAGCCCUUCGCGGGGUGCACCAUCGACCGGCUUGAAACUACGUGUGAAAAGUCUGAGUAGGAGCAAGUAUGUCGGGACCCGAAAGAUGGUGAACUAUGCCUGAAUAGGGUGAAGCCAGAGGAAACUCUGGUGGAGGCUCGUAGCGGUUCUGACGUGCAAAUCGAUCGUCGAAUUUGGGUAUAGGGGCGAAAGACUAAUCGAACCAUCUAGUAGCUGGUUCCUG